UACGAAGGGGGGCUAGCGUUGCUCGGAAUUACUGGGCGUAAAGCGCACGUAGGCGGGUCCUUAAGUCAGGGGUGAAAUCCCGGAGCUCAACUCCGGAACUGCCUUUGAUACUGGGGAUCUUGAGUCCGGAAGAGGUGAGUGGAACUCCGAGUGUAGAGGUGAAAUUCGUAGAUAUUCGGAAGAACACCAGUGGCGAAGGCGGCUCACUGGUCCGGUACUGACGCUGAUGGACGAAAGCGUGGGUAGCGAACAGG
rnacentral:rRNA from 1 species